rnacentral:rRNA from 1 species
AUGUACUACUUUGAUAAUCCAGAGAAAACCCCAUUCAAUUUGGUAAUGGGAGUAACGUUGGAUCAACGUGAAUACUUUAGGGAUUAUCGCUUGACACAAAAAGGGAAACUAUUAUGGGAUCAAAUUUAUAUUUUGAAGUGGUAUGCUCGGCAAGUAUGCUUGAGUUAUGAUUAUACUUGUUGCUCUAGGAUGAAGGCUCCACACCUCCCCUUUUCAUGCAAAUUUAAUGAUAAUGAAACCUUAGCUUCUUAUGCUAAUGGUAUAUAUGAUUACUAUGAUGUUGAACAAAUUGAAGAAUUUGUUGCUUUUAAGGGUGCUUAUGAAAUUGAAUCUUUGUUUGAAAAGUAUGAAGCUUUUGAUGAUGAUGUUUAUAGGCCUGAAAAUUUUGCUAUAUUGAAAUAUUGCUAUGAUAAUUAUGAAUAUAAUUCCUAUAUUGAUGCGCUUAUUGAGAAAGUCUCCGCUGUCCAAGAAGAGACUAAUAUUUUGCAGGAGACUAUGGAAGAAGAAAUUGAUGAAACUGUGAGCUCAUUGGAUGAAAAAGAUGAUGAGGAGAGCGAAGAACAAAAGGGGGGAGAGCGGACUAGCUACCCGUGCCCACCUUCUAAUGAGAGUAACUCUUCAACUCAUACAUUGUUUAAUUUCCCUUCGUGCUUACCGAAGGAUGAUUGCUAUGAUGAUUGUUAUGAUCCCGUUGAUUCUCUUGAAAUAUCCCUUUUUGAUGAUGCUUGCUAUGCUUGUGGCCAAGAUGCCAAUAUGAAUUAUGCUUAUGGAGAUGAACUUGCUAUAGUUCCUUAUGUUAAACAUGAAAUUGUUGCUAUUGCACCCACACAUGAUAGUCCUAUUAUCUUUUUGAAUUCUCCCGACUACACUAUAUCGGAGAAGUUUGCACUUAUUAAGGAUUACAUUGAUGGGUUGCCUUUUACCGUUGCACAUGAUGAUUUUGAUGAAUAUAAUAUGCAUGUGCUUGCUGCUCCUACUUGCAAUUAUUAUGAGAGAGGAACUAUAUCUCCACCUCUCUAUGUUUCCAACACGAUAAAAAUUGCAAGAAACUGUUUAUACUAUGCAUUGGCCUUUACUAUGUGUGCAUGA